UACGUAGGGUGCAAGCGUUGUCCGGAAUUAUUGGGCGUAAAGAGCUUGUAGGCGGUUUGUCGCGUCUGCCGUGAAAAUUCGAGGCUCAACCUCGAACUUGCGGUGGGUACGGGCAGACUAGAGUGUGGUAGGGGAGACUGGAAUUCCUGGUGUAGCGGUGAAAUGCGCAGAUAUCAGGAGGAACACUGAUGGCGAAGGCAGGUCUCUGGGCCACUACUGACGCUGAGAAGCGAAAGCAUGGGGAGCGAACAGG
rnacentral:rRNA from 1 species